rnacentral:tRNA from 1 species
AGGGAGUUAGUCCAAGGUAAGACCUCUGAUUUCGACUCAGAAGAUUGCGGUUCAACUCCACAGCCCCCUU